rnacentral:rRNA from 1 species
UACGUAGGGGGCAAGCGUUGUCCGGAUUUAUUGGGCGUAAAGAGCGUGUAGGCGGCCACACAGGUCAGCUGUGAAAACUCGAGGCUCAACCUCGAGACGUCGGUUGAAACCGUAUGGCUAGAGUCCGGAAGAGGAGAGUGGAAUUCCCGGUGUAGCGGUGAAAUGCGCAGAUAUCGGGAAGAACACCCGUGGCGAAGGCGGCUCUCUGGGACGGUACUGACGCUGAGACGCGAAAGCGUGGGAG